rnacentral:misc_RNA from 1 species
AACGCACAUUGCGCCCUGUGGUAUUCCGCAGGGCAUGCCUGUUCGAGCGUCAGUACAACACUCAAGCCUAGCUUGGUCUUGGGCCUCGCCGGAAACGGCGGGCCUUAAAAUCAGUGGCGGCGCCUGUUAGGCCCUAAGCGUAGUAAUACUCCUCGCUAUAGGGAUCCCGGCAGGUGCUGGCCAGCAACCCCCAACUUUCUAAGUUUGACCUCGGAUCAGGUAGGGAUACCCGCUGAACUUAA